UACAGAGGGGGCAAGCGUUGUUCGGAAUUACUGGGCGUAAAGGGCGCGUAGGCGGCCUUCUAAGUCGAACGUGAAAUCCCCGGGCUCAACCCGGGAAAUGCGUCCGAUACUGGAAGGCUUGAAUCCGGGAGAGGGAUGCGGAAUUCCAGGUGUAGCGGUGAAAUGCGUAGAUAUCUGGAGGAACACCGGUGGCGAAGGCGACAUCCUGGACCGGUAUUGACGCUGAGGCGCGAAAGCCAGGGGAGCAAACGGG
rnacentral:rRNA from 1 species